CGCCCGCAGGGGUUCCUGGCGAUGGGAUUUUUUACCACUUUUGCCCAAAAUCACAUUGCCAGGGAUUUCCAACGGG
rnacentral:pre_miRNA from 1 species